GCAGUAAAACUCCAUUCUUUUCUCAAGCUUUUUCUGGCAAAUAAUUUUGUCUUGAUGACUCUGCGCAGUUCAGGUUUGGAUGCUUGCUUCUUGGCUUGUACUUGCACAAGUAUCACCUGGUGUGGGGGUGCCAGCGGAUUUCGGUGCGUGGUAGGGCUUCACUUGAGUCCUUCACCUGUGAAAACACAAGCAAAACCUCCCCCCAUGUUAUAAUAUUGUGUGGUCCUUCUAUUUGUCCUGAAUCAUAGAUUUUGAUUAAAACUGGGGGGUGCCCCUUUAUUUUUGCUUUUUUGUUGUUCAGAAAAUGUCUGUAAAGCGGGGGGUCAGGCUCUCCUGCAGAGCUAUUUAAAAAAUUGUAAACAUACAAAGCCUUACUCAACCUCAUUUGAGGUGUAGCCUGAUCUAAUCCCCCUUUCUGUUGAUUGAAAAUACGUUUUAGGGUUUGAUAUGUUCUUUCUAUGGUACUUUUCAACAGUUGUUUAAAAUAGGAAGAGGAGAUACCACCGUCAUUUAUUGCUUUUCGCAAUUCUUUCAAGUCCUGGGAAGGGAUAACUGUCCAUGCUCUAGGAUUACUGGGUUGCUGCCUGGAUACCACAGGCAUGGUUUGAGGAUUCAGACUGUCCUCUUUGUGACUACCACAUCUGAUUCUAUGCUAGUCUGUCUGUUGGAGACUAUCAACACCUUUCUGGGAAUUUUGUAAAACUGGGAUAAGAGGGUCCUUUAUUUGUCAAAGCGGCUGCCACAUUCCAUCCUUCUCCCUCUCGCUGCACAGUUCCUGUGCCAAGCUGUGGUGAGGUACUGCUUGGACCGAGUGCAGGAACUGCUGGUAGCUGAGGAAGAGGAGCAGGAGGAGUGAAGCCUGUCAGCAGACGCACAUGGAAAGAACCUGCAUGUGCUGCACGUGUGGAAGGAUAUCCUGGAGCUUUGCUUGCAGAUGUAGAAUGUAGAUCCGGCAGAGGAAGGGUCGCAGAGGAAUAUGCAUAGGAUGCUGUAGAAUCGUGUUGUGGUGCUGCAGGCAGACUCGUUGGAGGGUGGAGGGCGGCUGGAGGCUGUGGUCGUGCAGGAGCUGCUGGUAGCUGCUGGGCUGGGGUUUCCAGAAGCUGCGAAGGAGGCGGUGUAGAGAGGACUAUUUGUGAUGAGGCUGUAACAGGAUCUGGCUAUGCGGAUGGAUAUGGUGGUAGAGUUAGAAAACCCGGAAACCCGGAAGUGCUGGCGGCAGUGGUGGCGGCAGUGGUGGCGGCAGUGGCUGAGGGACCGCAGCCAGGACCGUGGGCUGUGGUGCUGCCGUGGGGUGGGGGGGUGGGAACGUUGGCUGGGCGUAGACCGCGGCAUGGGAUGCGUGGGAAGCGGGAGGCUGCAUCAGAGGCGCGGCGGGGGCGGCGUGGGGCAGCUGGCCUGGGGGUAGUGCAAACAGUGCAUACGCGGGGCGUGUCACGAGGUCCGCAUGGCGAGGGAUGAUGGCAGCCGAUUCCACUGCGCGGCCGGAGGGCCCGGGCACAAAGACCGGGGCUGCGGGAGAGAACUGCUGCAAGUCCGCGGGUGCAGGGGGCGGCAGGGGCGUGGCACGGAGCCCCAGAGCGUCUCCUCGCAGCUGGGGGGGCUCCGGCUGGGGCAGCGCUGCAGGGGCUCUGGCCAGGGACCGCCACGGAGAGAGGACUGGGGGCCUGGUCGCUUGGUUCCGUGGCGCGAGUGGCGCUGCUCCCCAGUCCCCAGGCACGGCGGCCUGGUCUGUCACUGGCACAGGCGUCUCGCCGGCUGUGGCACCCACGGGAGGCAGCGGCGGCGGGCCGCUCGUGGCGACGGCUGUUUGCAGCGCC
rnacentral:lncRNA from 1 species